AAAUCAGAGAAGAAAAGAAAAGAAAGACCAGACAAAAAUGGAGUCAUUGAAGAUGAGACUCUUCGCCGCUGUGAUCCUCAUGGUCUUGGCCGUCUCGGCGG